CCUACGGGAGGCAGCAGUGGGGAAUAUUGCACAAUGGGGGAAACCCUGAUGCAGCGACGCCGCGUGAGCGAAGAAGUAUUUCGGUAUGUAAAGCUCUAUCAGCAGGGAAGAAAAUGACGGUACCUGAGUAAGAAGCUCCGGCUAAAUAAGUGCCAGCAGCCGCGGUAAUACGUAUGGAGCAAGCGUUAUCCGGAUUUACUGGGCGUAAAGGGAGCGUAGGCGGCCUGCCAAGUCUGAGGUGAAAUACCGGGGCUCAACCCCGGGGCUGCAGUGGAAACUGGCAGGCUGGAGUGCAGGAGAGGUAGGCGGAAUUCCUAGUGUAGCGGUGAAAUGCGUAGAUAUCAGGAGGAACACCAGUGGCGAAGGCGGCAUGCUGGACGGUGACUGACGCUGAGGCUCGAAAGCGUGGGUAUCGAACAGGAUUAGAUACCCUUGUAGUC
rnacentral:rRNA from 1 species